UGAACAUCAAAACAAGCCACUCAGACGUAGAAAACUUGACAUACAUUACUCCAUUCCGAAGGACAAUCCUUCGGAGAAGGAUAUUAACCAGGGGAUGCUUGUUAUAUUUAAUGUUGACCCCUCUAUAACAAACAAUGAUAUCCAUCAGAUAUUUAGCGAAUAUGGUGACAUAAAAGAGGUAUCUAUGCUCUUACAUUUACUACCAACUACAUUCUAACUAGAACUAUAAUGUCUUAAAUUAAUUGCAGAUUCAUGAUGCACCGCAAAAGGGCCAUCACAAAAUUAUAGAAUUUUAUAAUGUCAGAGCAGCUGAAGGUGCAGCUCGUGCUUUAAACAGGAGUGAUCUUGCUGGCAAGAAAAUAAAACUGGAGACUGGCCGUCUGAGUGGUGCUAGACGUUCAACACAACACAUGUCCAAGGAGUUGGGGUUGGAAGA